UGGGGAAUAUUGGACAAUGGGCGCAAGCCUGAUCCAGCCAUGCCGCGUGAGUGAUGAAGGCCUUAGGGUUGUAAAGCUCUUUUGUCCGGGACGAUAAUGAUGGUACCGGAAGAAUAAGCCCCGGCUAACUUCGUGCCAGCAGCCGCGGUAAUACGAAGGGGGCUAGCGUUGCUCGGAAUCACUGGGCGUAAAGGGCGCGUAGGCGGCCGUUUAAGUCGGGGGUGAAAGCCUGUGGCUCAACCACAGAAUUGCCUUCGAUACUGGACGGCUUGAGUCCGGAAGAGGUCAGUGGAACUGCGAGUGUAGAGGUGAAAUUCGUAGAUAUUCGCAAGAACACCAGUGGAGAAGGCGGCUGACUGGUCCGGAACUGACGCUGAGGCGCGAAAGCGUGGGGAGCAAACAGG
rnacentral:rRNA from 2 species